GCUACGGGCGGCAGCAGUGAGGAAUAUUGGUCAAUGGGCGGAAGCCUGAACCAGCCAAGUAGCGUGAAGGAUGACGGCCCUACGGGUUGUAAACUGCUUUUAUACGGGAAUAACGCGCCUCACGUGUAGGCCUUUGCAUGUACCGUAUGAAUAAGGACCGGCUAAUUCCGUGCCAGCAGCCGCGGUAAUACGGAAGGUCCGGGCGUUAUCCGGAUUUAUUGGGUUUAAAGGGAGCGUAGGCCGGAUGUUAAGCGUGCUGUGAAAUGUCCGGGCUCAACCCGGGCCGUGCAGCGCGAACUGGCGUGCUUGAGUCCGCGAGAGGCAGGCGGAAUUCGUGGUGUAGCGGUGAAAUGCUUAGAUAUGACGAAGAACCCCGAUUGCGAAGGCAGCUUGCUGCAGCGGAACUGACGCUGAUGCGCGAAAGCGCGGGUAUCGAACAGGAUUAGAUACCCGUGUAGUC
rnacentral:rRNA from 1 species